rnacentral:rRNA from 1 species
GGCCAGACUCCUACGGGAGGCAGCAGUGGGGAAUAUUGCACAAUGGGCGCAAGCCUGAUGCAGCCAUGCCGCGUGUAUGAAGAAGGCCUUCGGGUUGUAAAGUACUUUCAGUCGGGAGGAAGGUGUCAAGGUUAAUAACCUUGUUGAUUGACGUUACCCGCGGAAGAAGCACCGGCUAACUCCGUGCCAGCAGCCGCGGUAAUACGGAGGGUGCAAGCGUUAAUCGGAAUUACUGGGCGUAAAGCGCACGCAGGCGGUCUGUCAAGUCGGAGGUGAAAUCCCCGGGCUCAACCUGGGAACUGCAUUCGAAACUGGCAGGCUGGAGUCUUGUAGAGGGGGGUAGAAUUCCAGGUGUAGCGGUGAAAUGCGUAGAGAUCUGGAGGAAUACCGGUGGCGAAGGCGGCCCCCUGGACAAAGACUGACGCUCAGGUGCGAAAGCGUGGGGAGCAAACAGGAUUAGAUACCCCUGUAGAG